rnacentral:misc_RNA from 1 species
GAAAUGCGAUACGUAAUGUGAAUUGCAGAAUCUCGUGAAUCAUCAAAUUUUCGAACGCACAUUGCGCUCUUGGGUAUUCCUAAGAGCAUGCCUGUUUGAGCGUCAGUAUCAACCCUCAAACCCACUUUUGGGUUUGGACCUGGGCCUUUUUCUCAAGGGUCAAACCUUGAGUGGUCUCAAAUCUAUAGGUUGACCUCGGAUCAGGUAGGGAUACCCGCUGAACUUAA